rnacentral:rRNA from 1 species
GAAUGCUGACAUAAGUAACGAUAAAGCGGGUGAAAAGCCCGCUCGCCGGAAGACCAAGGGUUCCUGUCCAACGUUAAUCGGGGCAGGGUGAGUCGACCCCUAAGGCGAGGCCGAAAGGCGUAGUCGAUGGGAAACAGGUUAAUAUUCCUGUACUUGGUGUUACUGCGAAGGGGGGACGGAGAAGGCUAUGUUGGCCGGGCGACGGUUGUCCCGGUUUAAGCGUGUAGGCUGGUUUUCCAGGCAAAUCCGGAAAACCAAGGCUGAGGCGUGAUGACGAGGCACUACGGUGCUGAAGCGACAAAUGCCCUGCUUCCAGGAAAAGCCUCUAAGCAUCAGGUAACAUCAAAUCGUACCCCAAACCGACACAGGUGGUCAGGUAGAGAAUACCAAGGCGCUUGAGAGAACUCGGGUGAAGGAACUAGGCAAAAUGGUGCCGUAACUUCGGGAGAAGGCACGCUGAUAUGUAGGUGAAGCGACUAGCUCGUGGAGCUGAAAUCAGUCGAAGAUACCAGCUGGCUGCAACUGUUUAUUAAAAACACAGCACUGUGCAAACACGAAAGUGGACGUAUACGGUGUGACGCCUGCCCGGUGCCGGAAGGUUAAUUGAUGGGGUUAGCGGUAACGCGAAGCUCUUGAUCGAAGCCCCGGUAAACGGCGGCCGUAACUAUAACGGUCCUAAGGUAGCGAAAUUCCUUGUCGGGUAAGUUCCGACCUGCACGAAUGGCGUAAUGAUGGCCAGGCUGUCUCCACCCGAGACUCAGUGAAAUUGAACUCGCUGUGAAGAUGCAGUGUACCCGCGGCAAGACGGAAAGACCCCGUGAACCUUUACUAUAGCUUGACACUGAACAUUGAGCCUUGAUGUGUAGGAUAGGUGGGAGGCUUUGAAGUGUGGACGCCAGUCUGCAUGGAGCCGGCCUUGAAAUACCACCCUUUAAUGUUUGAUGUUCUAACGUUGGCCCGUAAUCCGGGUUGCGGACAGUGUCUGGUGGGUAGUUUGACUGGGGCGGUCUCCUCCUAAAGAGUAACGGAGGAGCACGAAGGUUGGCUAAUCCUGGUCGGACAUCAGGAGGUUAGUGCAAUGGCAUAAGCCAGCUUGACUGCGAGCGUGACGGCGCGAGCAGGUGCGAAAGCAGGUCAUAGUGAUCCGGUGGUUCUGAAUGGAAGGGCCAUCGCUCAACGGAUAAAAGGUACUCCGGGGAUAACAGGCUGAUACCGCCCAAGAGUUCAUAUCGACGGCGGUGUUUGGCACCUCGAUGUCGGCUCAUCACAUCCUGGGGCUGAAGUAGGUCCCAAGGGUAUGGCUGUUCGCCAUUUAAAGUGGUACGCGAGCUGGGUUUAGAACGUCGUGAGACAGUUCGGUCCCUAUCUGCCGUGGGCGCUGGAGAACUGAGGGGGGCUGCUCCUAGUACGAGAGGACCGGAGUGGACGCAUCACUGGUGUUCGGGUUGUCAUGCCAAUGGCACUGCCCGGUAGCUAAAUGCGGAAGAGAUAAGUGCUGAAAGCAUCUAAGCACGAAACUUGCCCCGAGAUGAGUUCUCCCUGACUCCUUGAGAGUCCUGAAGGAACGUUGAAGACGACGACGUUGAUAGGCCGGGUGUGUAAGCGCAGCGAUGCGUUGAGCUAACCGGUACUAAUGAACCGUGAGGCUUAACCUUACAACGCCGAAG